rnacentral:rRNA from 1 species
CCUACGGGAGGCAGCAGUAAGGAAUAUUGGUCAAUGGAGGCAACUCUGAACCAGCCAUGCCGCGUGCAGGAUGACGGCCCUAUGGGUUGUAAACUGCUUUUAUACAAGAGAAAACCCUGGUACGUGUACCAGGUUGAUAGUAUUGUAAGAAUAAGCAUCGGCUAACUUCGUGCCAGCAGCCGCGGUAAGACGAGGGAUGCAAGCGUUAUCCGGAUUCAUUGGGUUUAAAGGGUGCGUAGGCGGACUGAUAAGUCAGUGGUGAAAUCUCUUUGCUUAACAAAGAAACUGCCAUUGAUACUGUCGGUCUAGAGUAUAGAUGACGUUGGCGGAAUAUGACAUGUAGUGGUGAAAUACUUAGAUAUGUCAUAGAACACCGAUUGCGAAGGCAGCUAACGAAACUAUAACUGACGCUGAGGCACGAAAGUGCGGGGAUCAAACAGGAUUAGAUACCCUGGUAGUCCGCACCGUAAACGAUGAUUACUCGUUGUUGGCGAUAUGACAGUCAGCGACCAAGCGAAAGCGAUAAGUAAAUCCACCUGGGGAGUACGCCGGCAACGGUGAAACGUCAAAGGAAGUUAGACGG